rnacentral:rRNA from 1 species
UUGAACGCUGGCGGCGUGCUUAACACAUGCAAGUCGCGCGUGAAAGGGCUCGGCCAAGUAAAGCGGCGCACGGGUGAGUAACGCGUGGAUGAUCUACCCAUGAGUUGGGAAUAACGGCUGGAAACGGUCGCUAAUACCGAAUACGCUCCGAUUUCAACUUCGGGGGAAAGGUGGCCUCUGCUUGCAAGCUACUGCUCAUGGAUGAGUCCGCGUCCCAUUAGCUAGUUGGUGGGGUAACGGCCCACCAAGGCGACGAUGGGUAGCCGGUCUGAGAGGAUGACCGGCCACACUGGGACUGGAACACGGCCCAGACUCCUACGGGAGGCAGCAGUGGGGAAUAUUGCGCAAUGGGCGAAAGCCUGACGCAGCGACGCCGCGUGAGGGGAAUGAAGGUCCUCGGAUCGUAAACCUCUGUCAGGAGGGAAGAACCGCCACGGUGCUAAUCAGCCGUGGUCUGACGGUACCUCCAAAGGAAGCACCGGCUAACUCCGUGCCAGCCGCGGC